rnacentral:hammerhead_ribozyme from 1 species
AUCCAGUUGACGAGUUCAAAAAUGAGACGAAACGCACGUCCUGCAU